CCUACGGGAGACUGCAGUGAGGAAUAUUGGUCAAUGGACGGAAGUCUGAACCAGCCAUGCCGCGUGCAGGAAUACGGCUCUAUGAGUUGUAAACUGCUUUUGUCCAAGGGUAAACCUGAAUACGUGUAUUCAGCUGACAGUACUGUGCGAAUAAGGAUCGGCUAACUCCGUUCCAGCAGACGCGGUAAUACUGAGGAUCCAAGCGUUAUCCGGAUGUAUUGGGUUUAAAGUGUGCGUAGGCGGAUUGAUAAGUUAGAGGUGAAAUGUUCGAGCUUAACUCGGGAACUGCCGCUAAUACUGUUGAUCUAGAGAGUAGAUGCGGUAGGCGGAAUGUAUGGUGUAGCGGUGAGAUGCUUAGAGAUCAUACAGAACACCGAUUGCGAAGGCAGCUUACCAAUCUAUAUCUGACGUUGAGGCACGAAAGCGUGGGGAGCAAACAGGAUUAGAUACCCUUGUAGUC
rnacentral:rRNA from 1 species